GCCAGCUGUCUGCAUUAUAUGCAAAAAAAGAGAAAAGUUUGAGACUGUCAGGAAUUCUCGCCAGAGAGUGAAACUUGUCAAGGCAGAGACUGUUGAUGGUGGUAAGUUAAUACUUUCUCUGUAAUCUAUUGUUAAAAUUUUCCUUAAGCUAAGUGGAUGUAUGCCUUGUCUAUAUCUUUAGCCAUGCGGACAGAAACAUAUUUAGGCCUAUAGGAAAAAGGUUUAAUAAUGUCAUCAUAAUGUUUAUGUUUGUUUGGCUCAGCUAUGUUGAUAAAUGCAAUUUUCUUGGAAUGAUGCCCCAUGGUAUACAUUUUUUUGGAAAUAUGUACCAUGAUUCGGUUUAUAUCGACAUGUCUAUAAUAAAUCUUUUAUAUUUCUAGGAUUGCUGCGAAAAGCAGCAGAAGCAAAAAAGGAUGAGAGUGUGCUUGUACACAUAAGAGAUAAGGACUGUGUAGCUCUUGAGGUCUCCUAUCACAGAACCUGCAAUGGAUCAUACACCAAAUUCUUGACAAGAUCUAAAUCAGAAAGUCAGACACCAGAUGGAAGAUUGUCUGCAAGUUACAAAAAGUUUUGCAGAACUGUUGUUCAACAGAGACUGAUAAGUAACCAGGAAGUUCUACAAAUGUCAAAAUUGGUAAACAUCUUUAAAAGGACUGUCAAAGAAAAAGAAGGGAUCUCAAUUGAACAAUACAGGGCUGACUACUUGAAGGACAAAUUGAAAAAGGACUUUCCCCAACUUCAAUUUCACUGGCCAUCCAGGAAAAACCUGAGUGAAAUUGUCUUCAGACUGCUUAUCUGUCAUGGAUGAUAUGGUCCCAGAGUCUGAAACAGACAGUGUACAGACAGAAUCAACUGAGCAAGCUGAAGAUGAUGAAGGACUGGGUAAAACAUCAACUGCUGUUACUGACAUGGAGACAACCAGGAUAUUGUACAGUGCAGGUAUGAUUAUAAGAGGUAUUCUUAAAAAUUCUCCUCAGAUGCUGUCUGUGUGGCCACCAACAGCAUCUGAUCUGAAUAGCAAAAGUUGUCAUGCCAGGGUUCCCCUUGAACUGCACUAUUUGAUGGCCUGGUUGCUUGGUGUCUCAGAUGACCCUACCCUUUCAGCAAAGGUUGAAGUGCCUGAUGAUAUAAACCCUAAAUUGGUCUCAAUA